UACGAAGGGGGCUAGCGUUGCUCGGAAUUACUGGGCGUAAAGGGCGCGUAGGCGGACAGUUAAGUCGGGGGUGAAAGCCCGGGGCUCAACCUCGGAAUUGCCUUCGAUACUGGCUGUCUUGAGUGUGAGAGAGGUGUGUGGAACUCCGAGUGUAGAGGUGAAAUUCGUAGAUAUUCGGAAGAACACCAGUGGCGAAGGCGACACACUGGCUCACUACUGACGCUGAGGCGCGAAAGCGUGGGGAGCAAACAGG
rnacentral:rRNA from 1 species